rnacentral:rRNA from 1 species
GAUGAACGCUGGCGGCGUGCCUAAUACAUGCAAGUCGAGCGAACGGACGAGAAGCUUGCUUCUCUGAUGUUAGCGGCGGACGGGUGAGUAACACGUGGAUAACCUACCUAUAAGACUGGGAUAACUUCGGGAAACCGGAGCUAAUACCGGAUAAUAUUUUGAACCGCAUGGUUCAAAAGUGAAAGACGGUCUUGCUGUCACUUAUAGAUGGAUCCGCGCUGCAUUAGCUAGUUGGUAAGGUAACGGCUUACCAAGGCAACGAUGCAUAGCCGACCUGAGAGGGUGAUAGGCCACACUGGAACUGAGACACGGUCCAGACUCCUACGGGAGGCAGCAGUAGGGAAUCUUCCGCAAUGGGCGAAAGCCUGACGGAGCAACGCCGCGUGAGUGAUGAAGGUCUUCGGAUCGUAAAACUCUGUUAUUAGGGAAGAACAUAUGUGUAAGUAACUGUGCACAUCUUGACGGUACAUAAUCAGAAAGCCACGGCUAACUACGUG